ACGCUCGACACCUACGGAGGCAGCAGUGGGGAAUAUUGGGCAAUGGGCGCAAGCCUGACCCAGCAAUGCCGCGUGAAGGAAGAAGGCUUUCGGGUUGUAAACUUCUUUUGUCAGGGAAGAGAAGAAGACGGUACCUGACGAAUAAGCCACGGCUAACUACGUGCCACAGCCGCGGUAAUCUGAGCGGGCUGGCAAGGC
rnacentral:rRNA from 1 species